rnacentral:rRNA from 1 species
UACGAAGGGUGCAAGCGUUAUUCGGAAUUACUGGGCGUAAAGCGUGCGUAGGCGGUUUGUUAAGUCUGUUGUGAAAGCCCUGGGCUCAACCUGGGAAUGGCAAUGGAUACUGGCAAGCUAGAGUCAGGUAGAGGGUGGUGGAAUUCCCGGUGUAGCGGUGAAAUGCGUAGAGAUCGGGAGGAACAUCUGUGGCGAAGGCGGCCACCUGGACCAUGACUGACGCUGAGGCACGAAAGCGUGGGGAGCAAACAGG